rnacentral:rRNA from 1 species
CAGCAGCGCGGUAAAACGGAGGGCGCGAGCGUUACCCGGAUUUACUGGGCGUAAAGGGCGUGUAGGCGGCCUGGGGCGUCCCAUGUGAAAGGCCACGGCUCAACCGUGGAGGAGCGUGGGAUACGCUCAGGCUAGAGGGUGGGAGAGGGUGGUGGAAUUCCCGGAGUAGCGGUGAAAUGCGCAGAUACCGGGAGGAACGCCGAUGGCGAAGGCAGCCACCUGGUCCACUUCUGACGCUGAGGCGCGAAAGCGUGGGGAGCAAACCGGAUUAGAUACCCGUGUAGUCCCUGUCUCUUAUACA